rnacentral:lncRNA from 1 species
GGGGGUUUCAAACAGGCGGUGGCACUCAGGUCUUGUUCUGGUCUAAGGGGAUUUCCACCCGCUGCUGCUCAUUCCCAAAGCCGAGCUGCCGAUAUAAUGGAGCCCCGAGCUCAAAGGAAACGCAGAGUUAAUUCAGAGAGACUAAAUACAUCACAAUUCUCCCAUCGCCACUUAAUGACCACUCCCCUCUCCCCACACUGUGAAUGGGGUCAAGGAGAUUUGGCGAGGGGAGGGGGGGGGGGAAAGGGGAGAGGGUCAGGAGAGGUCAGGUGAGUUUUCCAUUUCAUCCCUCGCGAGCCUGCCAGAGCUAUUCUCCAUGGUGUAUUUCACAUUCAGCUGCGGUGAAUGGACACUGAUAGCUGUGAAAGGAUCUGGCACUGUAUGAACAGCCCUUCCCUAAGCGCCCGCUCUUGUGCUCGCUCCCACCCUUUCUUCCAAAGGGCUUCCAGGGAGCGGGGAAUUAAUAACGUUCAUAAAGAGCCCCUUGGAAGGUUGGAAAUGUAACGUUGUGGGUAUGAAUGGAAACCCGAGGGCUGACAAUACCCUUCGCCCUCCCCUCUCUCUCUGCCGCUCAUGGGGAAUGCAUCUCUGCAUCCAAUCUGUGGCACGGAGGGGAGGAAAGGUGCGGGGCUGUGUCACCUGCAGCAGCCCCUGCCCAGCAGCACUGCCUGCCUCCAGCCUUGGCAAUUAUGUGGGGUAAUUAUUUCCAGUAUAAGAAAGAGCUGAGGUUAUUAUGGAGCCCUGGCAGGUUGCAAACAACGGGAGAAUCUCAUCCUCUGUGGUUUGACGUUGCUGCAGCUGUUUGUUAACCAGGGGUAGGUGCUUGGCAGCCGUAAAGUGGGAAGGUUGCAGCUGAGAGCUGAGAUAGGGAUCCUCCUGAGGAGCCCACGAGUUUUUCUCAGCCACAGAACUGCAGCCAAACUCUACUUGUAAAAUACAUCUCCGGGUGCUGGGAGGUUUGUGCCAUCUGAAAGCAAAAGGUGUGACCCAGAGCCUCUGCGCUGAGAAAGGAAGUGGGAGGUUAACUUCCUACCCGCUGUACUGCUCAGUGAAUGAGUCCCUGUGUGUGAUAGCAGUGGUGCAUUCAGUGUUUCCAUGUGCUCUGCUGGUGCAUUUCUGGGUUCCACAUUGGGCUUCCCCCUGCAUGGCAUCGAGAUCGGGAGAAUGC